rnacentral:miRNA from 1 species
UAGAAAGUUGGGCUGUUGAGA